rnacentral:rRNA from 1 species
AUACGUAGGGGGCAAGCGUUGUCCGGAAUGAUUGGGCGUAAAGGGCGCGUAGGCGGCCUGGUAAGUCUGGAGUGAAAGUCCUGCUUUUAAGGUGGGAAUUGCUUUGUUGACUGAAUGGCUUGAGUGUAGGAGAGGUUAGUGGAAUUCCCGGUGUAGCGGUGAAAUGCGUAGAGAUCGGGAGGAACACCAGUGGCGAAGGCGACUAACUGGACUAUAACUGACGCUGAGGCGCGAAAGUGUGGGGAGC